UAGGCCUUGUUUUUCAAUUUUCCAAGUUUGGCAACCUUGAAGCCCAUAGACCUCUCUCUUCCCGUAGACCUCUCUCUUCCCUCUCGCUCAUCUCUCCCUCUCUCUUUCCCGUAGACCUCUCUCUCCUCUUCACAACCUUGAACCCCAAAUCUUGAACCCAGACCUGUCUUUCCUCUUCACAAUCUCGAAUCCAACCACCACCACUACUCUGUCGGUUGUCUCUCUCCCUCUCGUUCUAAACGACGGGCAGCCACGCGAAUCUCGAAGCCGAAGCGAAUCAAGUCCCAAAAUCAAGAUAAAAUUGGAUGUUGGUUCUGAUUUGAUAGGGUUUCAGAUUUGUGAGGGUUUGAGGUUAUGUGGGGUUCGAAUUAUGGUGGGUGCAGCCGUGUUGGUUUCAGAGACCGGUGUUUGUUAGGGGUCAUGCCAGCUAGAAUGUGUUGCUGUACAAGACUCCUUUCAGCUCAACUUGAGACAUUUGAAUUUGUGUGAUGAUUUGGUGGCUAAUUAAAAGUAUUAUACAUAGUUUAAUGCUCCACGGUGGACCUCGGUUCUGGUCCCUGGUUUUCUUUGCCAGAUUGGCUGAAAGGACCAGGGGAGGACCCAUAUUCUAAAACACUGGGAGACCUUGGAAAUGUCAAACCCGCCAUGUUGCUACCUACAGGUGAAGCUAUCUUGUUCUAUUAUUUGUAUAUUUGGAUUUGGUGUUGCAUCGCAUGGUUGAAUAGACUGAUCCCCAAGGAAAGAGAAAGAGAUGAAAAUAACACUUGCUGCAACAGUAAAAUGGCUAAAAAUGCUAACAAUUCAGAAUUGAAAAUGGAAAAGCAAAUUCAACUUCACGAAGAACGUCCUGAUGGGUGUGGCGGGGUUGGGUUUGGUUUGUACGACCGGCUUACAUUUUCUGUUGAAUUAUGUGUGACAGUGAUCAAACGACGUUUGCAAUCAAUCUGAAGAGGCCUUGGAGAGCACGGAGACUAUGAAAUGGAUAGCAUUUGCAGCUAUUUUUUAUUUGAUCUGCCUCCUCUUAGGAAGAGGCUUUCUGCUUCUUAACCUUUUGGGGAUUUCAGUGGCGGGAACAUCAGACACCUUGCUAUUCAUUUUGGAAGCUAAGGAAAAUUGCAAUAUUUUUCUCUAGAAGAUUUUUUGUUUGAUGGACGUCGAUACAGUGGCAUUGGCCGGUGUUUGUAUAGCAACCCCAGCUCACUAUAUGAUCCCAAGAAUGGGGGAAGAUUGACCCGGGAAGGUCAGAGAAAUCUAGAAACAAGCUUUCUCCGACUGAAGUUUGUUAGGGGGCAUGCCAGCAAGAUUGUUUGGCUGUGCCAAGAUUCAUUUCAGCCCAACUUGAGGUCUUGCGGAUGAAAAUGAGUCUGUACGUGAGGCAGCUCUAGGUGCAGGGCAUAUUCUGGUUGAGCAUCGCGCAACAACGUAAGCACUGCCCUGGUCGAUCAUUGUGAUGUCUCUCGAAUGAAUUGUUUGUUGGAGCCGGAGCCUUCUGAUCACUCUUCUUCGUCCUCCAGAGUCGGGCACAUUAGGGCCCAGGACGAGAAGAUGAGUAUGAUUGUACGGGCCUUAGCGAUGUCCGGCCUCCAAAUCCUGAUGGCAGCACCUGAUCUUGCUCCACCUUCGACUUCCCAGCCGCUUCGCCCAGUCGAUACCCAAUAGCAUGAUGUAUUGAACCUAGAAGACUUGUAGUUUUGUCUUUUUUGUUCAGACAUCUUGUAUGUACAUUUUCAUAUAUUUUAUAAUUAAAUACUUUUUCUUGGUUUA